rnacentral:rRNA from 1 species
ACGCUCGACACCUACGGAGGCAGCAGUUGGGAAUAUUGGACAAUGGAGGAAACUCUGAUCCAGUGACGCCGCGUGAAGGAAGAAGGUCUUCGGAUUGUAAACUUAUUUUGUCAGGGAAGAAAAAUGACUGUACCUGAAGAAAAAGCACCGGCUAACUACGUGCCCGCAGCCGCGGUAAUCUGAGCGGGCGUGGCAAGGC